rnacentral:rRNA from 1 species
GAUGAACGCUGGCGGCGUGCCUAAUACAUGCAAGUCGAGCGAACAGACGAGGAGCUUGCUCCUCUGACGUUAGCGGCGGACGGGUGAGUAACACGUGGAUAACCUACCUAUAAGACUGGGAUAACUUCGGGAAACCGGAGCUAAUACCGGAUAAUAUAUUGAACCGCAUGGUUCAAUAGUGAAGGACGGUUUUGCUGUCACUUAUAGAUGGAUCCGCGCCGCAUUAGCUAGUUGGUAAGGUAACGGCUUACCAAGGCAACGAUGCGUAGCCGACCUGAGAGGGUGAUCGGCCACACUGGAACUGAGACACGGUCCAGACUCCUACGGGAGGCAGCAGUAGGGAAUCUUCCGCAAUGGGCGAAGGCCUGACGGAGCAACGCCGCGUGAGUGAUGAAGGUCUUCGGAUCGUAAAACUCUGUUAUUAGGGAAGAACAAAUGUGUAAGUAACUAUGCACGUCUUGACGGUACCUAAUCAGAAAGCCACGGCUAACUACGUG